AUCAUAAUCAAAACGUGUGGAAGUUUAAUUAUUGUUUUGUUUUAAAGAGCAAAUUAAGUAAACAUCCGUAAAGGAGAACCAUCAAGGUACCCCACAAACCCACCACUCAUACACAUUGUCACUCUUUGUAAAAAAUCAUUGCCUAAUAUGAUACAAAAAGGUUCACGUUUUGGAAUAACAUAAAACUUAACGUUUUCGUAUUUCUUAUUGUCUAUAACAAUGUCCACUGUGCACGAACCACUCGUUUUUAUCACUGAUAAACCUAAUCCACUGACCGAAACACUAUCAUCGUAACACUAAUUUCUAGUUGACGACGACACACAUCCGUAAUAAGAUUGAUAUCGCUGCCCGAAUCCACCAGCGCAUCUGUUGUUUUACCGCAUAUUUCCACCGUUUUCAGCGGUUUCUGGCGCGAUUUCGAUGUAAACAGUGCUAUGUUGUUGUUGUUAUCAAUGAUAUUAUAAAGAAAAAGAGGUAGAUAUCGCACUGGCACGCAAAAAUUGUUGCGAACGAAUUCAGACAAUUGUCGUAAUUUGUUUUUGUCGGCUUAUAGCAGCGAGCGAAACAACGCGUGUCUGUGUCGUGCCUAUAUUUGCCUAAAAUGCCAAGUUGUGUGUUACGAAAGUGUAAAAACUAUGGUUCCAAGAAAAAUAAGAGUGUAGGAGUUUCAUACCAUACAUUUCCUACUGAUGAUUAUAUAAAACAUAAAUGGGUCAGCAUAGUUCAGGCGGAAAGAAGUGAAUUUAACUGGAUACCUACAAAAAGUAGUACAAUUUGUUCUGAACAUUUAAAAAAUGAAGAUAAAUAUACUACUUCUAAGUUAGUUUGAAAAAAACUACAGUACCUGUGAUGGCCCCGGACAAUGAUGAUGUUCCACAAUUUCGCUCACCUACCAGUCUGGACCAUUUUGAUAUAUCCGACAUGGAUUCGACACCCCCAGAAAAAUACGUUAGGCGGAUAUUCCAUACUGCCCUGCCUCAUCCCCGUGUUUUGGCUAAAUGGUACCAAAAUAGUUCAAUGUUGCCGGGUUUUACGAAACAGGCAUUUGAUAUUUUAAAACAAAAAAGUAAUUUAUCUAGUCUAGAAAAAAAAAUAUUUGUGGCCUGAUUGUAGACGAAAUGGCUCUCAGGCAUCAAACUCAAUGGACAGGCAAAAAUACAGAGGGAUUAGUAAAUUAUGGUUCUGGACCUUCAGAAAACAAAGAAAUUGCAACAGAAGCAUGUGUUUUUAUUUUAGUAUGUUUAAGUGAAAACUGGAAAAUUCCUGUAGCUUACUUUUUCGUCAAGGGGUUAUCAUCAGAGACGAGGGCUACUUUAAUCAUGGAUUGUUUAAGACAUUGUCAUGCAGCAGGCGUUGACGCAGUAAGUUUGACUUUCGAUGGUU